rnacentral:lncRNA from 1 species
UGUAAACGGGGACUGCGAUUAUGAUGUGAUAGUCAUUCUCAUCAUUGUUACCUAAGACAUUAGCCCCGGCAACCACAGAGAGAUAUUUUCCAGCUGGUUUUGAGGAAGUGAGCUGCCAUGUACUAGGCCACGUGGCAAGGGCCUGGUUGGGGACCUCCAGGGGUUGAGAGCAUCCUCUGGACAACAUGGAAAAAGAAAAUGAAAAUGGUGACCUCAGCCCUAUAGCUAGAAGGAAUUGAAUCCUGUCAACAACGAUGCUAUUGGGUUUGGAGUGAAUUCUCAGAAACAUCACUACUGACAUAACUCCAUAAAGAAUUCAUAAUUUCUACUCACAUGUUUUACCCACAUCAAUAACAGAAUCUCAGGAAAACCAAAGUGGAGUUUACAAUGUUCAUUUUGACACUGUGCAUUAGACUUCUCGACUUCAAGCUACAAAAACCAGCACAGAACCUGGAAAAAUUUUACCUCCUGGCAUUUUUGUUUCUCUACCCUGAUGCUUGUUGUUGAGUUUUACCCAUGCUUUGACCAUCAGCAAAUUGAAGA